AUUGAAACACUGGUUCACAUAUGAUCACCAAAGUUAAGCAACAUCGAACCUGGCCAAUACUUAGAUAGGUGACUGCUUGGGAAUACCAGGUGCUGUAAG